CAGGGAGACAAAACUGAUCUUGAUGCCUGAGUUUUUCUCAGGCCAUGAUCCUGUCACCUUAGGUCGAUCGGUACCUCAAAUUGAUAGUAACCAAAUUGGUUUAUCCAAGUAUUUUGAUUGCGAUCAAUAUCAGUUCCUAAACAUGUCUGGGUCACACCCAACGAGGGUAAUCCUGGGCCAUUAGCUCAGGUGGUUAGAGCGCACCCCUGAUAAGGGUGAGGUCCCUGGUUCAAGUCCAGGAUGGCCCAUUCGGUGUUGGGGGUAUAGCUCAGUUGGUAGAGCGCCUGCUUUGCAAGCAGGAUGUCAGCGGUUCGAGUCCGCUUACCUCCACUGAUCAACUACCUAAUAGCCGACAUAAGCGGAUUUUCUUUCUUGAUGUGAUUUAGACGUUGUUUUAUUUGAACGAACCUAGCUUCCUAUCAUUCCUCUUUUAAUUAAAUAAUUGGAUAUGGUUGGUAGGAUGCUGGGCUCACUGUAAUUGUACUAAUUGCAGAUGUGUUCAGUAGAACCUUGACAACUGCAUAGGUGAGUCUGGAAAGAAUAAAGCAUCUCAUGGAUGUUCUGUUUUCUAGAGGAAUUAAUUAUUUAUUGCAAUGCAAGAUAGUUAGUUUUAUCGACGAAAUCAGUUGUUAAUUCUUGAGUUAAGAGCCGAGACUCUAUAGGUUAAUGACUAUUAUUUUUAAAGUAUUAGUCAUUAAUAGGGAAUGAUAAUUCCCCGAGCCUAAUAGAGGUAAAUAU
rnacentral:tRNA from 1 species